rnacentral:tRNA from 2 species
UAGUUUAAAUUAGAAUCUU